CAAAAAGCUCAAUUGCCUCUAACUAUCUCUUCGAUCCAAAUUUCAUUUCCUUUUUCCAAGCUCCCCAACUGUGCUAUGGCAGUGGCCUCAGAAAGCGCAGUGGGGAUCGAUCCCUUGCACAUGGAGCCCUCUGCCUCAAAAUCAGCUUCUGACUCGGGGUCCGAAUCGUCUUCCCCAGCUUCGGAAACGCCUGAUCGCAGCGACCACUCCAAUUCUUCUCAAAAUGCUAACCGCGACGUCGAAAAUCAGCCCUCAGCAUUAUUGAGUGAAGAGUAUCGACAACUUUUCCGUCUUCCAUCUGAGGAAGCUCUUGUACGGGACUUUAAUUGUGCAUUCCAGGAAAGUAUUCUUCUUCAGGGGCAUAUGUACCUUUUUACACGUUAUAUUUGUUUUUACUCCAACAUAUUUGGAUUUGAGACAAAGAAAAUAAUUCCCUUCAUUGAAAUUACGAAUGUGAAAAGAGCAAAGAUAGCUGGAAUAUUCCCUAAUGCGAUAGAAAUUUUUGCUGGAGGGAGAAAGUACUUCUUUGCUUCAUUCCUAUCCCGUGAUGAAGCUUUCAACCUCAUCAAUGAUGGAUGGUUGCAGCAUUGGAAUGAUUCUAAAUCAGUAACAGAACAUCAGGAGUCA
rnacentral:misc_RNA from 1 species